GCAGACCAUCAAUUUCAGUUUCAUUCAUUUUAUCUAUCCAUCUUGUUGCCAAUUCUCCACUGUUCUCUUCCUAACAGGCCUGAAAUCUGAAAAGGCUCUCCAUGGACACCAACAAAUUUACCUGUGUCCGCUGGCAUAAGUCCUUCCAGCAAAAAUCCCAUAUCUGUUUGGUUUUUGAGAUGCUGGGACAGAGCUUUACGAUUUCAUGAAAGACAGAUUUUAGUCCACUCAGGCUUGCAUGUGUAAGGCCUAUACUACAACAGGUAGCCAAGGCCCUGACAAAGCUCAAAAGCCUGGGCAUAAUCCAUACAGACCUCAAGCUGGAGAACAUCAUGCUAGUGCCCCAUCUACCAGCCCAACCGCAUUAAAGUCACUGACUUCGGCUCAGCCACGCAUGUGUCUGAGGCUGUGUGCUGCAUUCACGGUUCUACUGUUCUCCAGAGAUCAUCCUUGGGCUGCCCUUCUGUGAGACCAUUGACAUAUGGUCACUAGGAUGUGUGGCAGCUGAACUCUUUCUUGGCUGGCCUCUGUAUCCUGGACAUUUGGAAUACGACUAGGUUCGGUACAUCUCCAAGACCCAGGGACCUCUACCUGAGUACUUGCUCAGUGCAUGCUCAAAGACGGGCAAACAUUUUAUCAAAUGGCCAGACUCCAUCUAUCCAAUGGAGCCUCAAGAUGAUUUACUGAAUGUGUUGAAGGAGCUGGAUGCGGUAGACACACCCAGAAGGUUUGCAAGCAGACGGAGAAAAGAAAAAUGCAUCGGACCGGAGAUAGAAAAGACAGACAGGACAGGAAG